rnacentral:rRNA from 1 species
AAUAGAUACCCAGGUAGUCCACGCCGUAAACGGUGGGCACUAGGUGUGGGUGACAUUCCACGUCGUCCGUGCCGCAGCUAACGCAUUAAGUGCCCCGCCUGGGGAGUACGGCCGCAAGGCUAAAACUCAAAGGAAUUGACGGGGGCCCGCACAAGCGGCGGAGCAUGUGGCUUAAUUCGACGCAACGCGAAGAACCUUACCAAGGCUUGACAUACACCGGAAACGUCCAGAGAUGGGCGCCCCCUUGUGGUCGGUGUACAGGUGGUGCACGGCUGUCGUCAGCUCGUGUCGUGAGAUGUUGGGUUAAGUCCCGCAACGAGCGCAACCCUUGUCCCGUGUUGCCAGCAGGCCCUUGUGGUGCUGGGGACUCACGGGAGACCGCCGGGGUCAACUCGGAGGAAGGUGGGGACGACGUCAAGUCAUCAUGCCCCUUAUGUCUUGGGCUGCACACGUGCUACAAUGGCCGGUACAAUGAGCUGCGAUACCGCGAGGUGGAGCGAAUCUCAAAAGCCGGUCUCAGUUCGGAUUGGGGU